rnacentral:lncRNA from 1 species
GGGGACGCUGCGGCGCGGGCAUGCCGGGACUUGUAGUUCUCCUGGAAGAGGCAGCCGCCCUGCAAUCGGUGCGCGGAGUCUGAGCGAUCCCAGCCUAGAGAUUCGGUUUCUUGUUGUGACUAUUGCCUGAGCCUUUCGGAGAGUUCGGUAUUGCUCGUAGAGCUAUGCUAGUCUGCUUGUAGAGUGAAUUGGGGGCCAUUUCUCCUGAGAUAGGCAGCAUGGUACCAGCUAUAACCUCCUUGAACUGGCUACUUGAAAGAAGUCUUCCUUCAGUGAUAUCACUUCUUCCAAGAUACAGAAGCCAAAAUAUGGAGUCCACAAAAAAUAGUGAUAAAUCUGGAAACAGCCUACAGGGAUCUUCACUCUGGAUCAUUUUUUAUGUUUAGCACCACCCCAGAUCUUCAACUACCUAAUAGUAAGCUAAAGAUGAUAAUACUUCAAUUGAAUGCUAAAUUAUGUUUAAAGCAAAUAUUUUAUUGGCUUUAAAAUAUUCCAU